UGGGAUUCGGGGUCAUCCUUCUCACCACCAGUCGAACAUACUACCCAAUUUCUGUGUGCAGUGGGCUUGGAGCCGGGGUCAUCCUUCUCACCACCAGUCGAACAUACUACUUCAUCCACCAUGUCGAGCGAUAUAAAACUGUUAUCUGUUUCAUAGAGCAACAACACGAGAUUGUGCCCCCUCUUGAUCCUGGUGCAUAUUGCUGCCCUCCUCCCCCCUUUUGAUUCGAGUUUCUUUACAUUGUGUGAAGUUGUGUACUUCCAACUUUACAAAGCUAUACCAAAUUCGCAACUGUACUUGGCUAUACCUGUAAGUGAUGCAUUUCUCUGCAGGUUACUGACACUUUCUGAAAAAGUAUGGAUAUUGAAUGGAAGACGGGAGAAUGAUUGAUGAAAACAGACAACACUAGAAGUGAAUGCAUUAUUAGUCAAUGGAAACAUGAUUGUUUUAUACACUUUCUUUUACUGAGGAUGAACUUUGUGUUGCAUGCUAUGAACAAAUGUAGUGUUUGACUAAUUUUGAAUUCUAUGUUGAUGCAACAAGUUCAUUCUUUCUGCUUAUAGUCUAUUGUUUUGUGGAAUCAUAAUGUGGGUGAUCCAUUUCUCUUAAAUGUAUUCAAUAAUGCUUCGCUUAUGGGCCAUAUUUAUAUUUGUUACUUGUGGACAUGUGCUUAAUGAUCACUAUACCAAUAUAUUUUUCU
rnacentral:lncRNA from 1 species